rnacentral:rRNA from 2 species
UAGGGAGUUUUCGGCAAUGGGGGAAACCCUGACCGAGCAACGCCGCGUGAAUGAUGAAGGCCUUCGGGUCGUAAAAUUCUGUUGUAAGAGACGAACUGUGAGGGUAGGAAAUGCCCCUCACUUGACUGUAUCUUACGAGAAAGGGACGGCUAACUACGUGCCAGCAGCCGCGGUAAUACGUAGGUCCCAAGCGUUAUCCGGAAUUAUUGGGCGUAAAGAGUGAGUAGGUGGUUUCUUAAGUCUGGAGUUAAAGGCAGUAGCUCAACUAUUGUACGCUUUGGAAACUGGGAGACUAGAGUGCGGGAGAGGUAAAUGGAACUCCAUGUGUAGCGGUAAAAUGCGUAGAUAUAUGGAAGAACACCAGUGGCGAAGGCGAUUUACUAGACCGAUACUGACACUGAGGCGCGAAAGCGUGGGUAUCAAACAGG